rnacentral:rRNA from 1 species
UACGUAGGUGGCGAGCGUUGUCCGGAUUUAUUGGGCGUAAAGCGCGCGCAGGCGGUCUCUUAAGUCUGAUGUGAAAGCCCACGGCUCAACCGUGGGGGUGCAUUGGAAACUGGGAGACUUGAGUGCAGGAGAGAAAAGUGGAAUUCCACGUGUAGCGGUGAAAUGCGUAGAGAUGUGGAGGAACACCAGUGGCGAAGGCGGCUUUUGGCCUGUAACUGACGCUGAGGCGCGAAAGCGUGGGGAGCAAACAGG